GAAUAUUGCACAAUGGACGCCAGUCUGAUGCAGCAACGCCGCGUGUAGGAUGACGGUCUUCGGAUUGUAAACUACUUUAGUCAGGGACGAGCAAGGACGGUACCUGAAGAAUAAGUCUCGGCUAACUACGUGCCAGCAGCCGCGGUAAAACGUAGGAGGCGAGCGUUAUCCGGAUUUACUGGGCGUAAAGCGCAGGUAGGUGGUUGCUUAAGCCAUGCGUGAAAGCUCUCGGCUUAACCGGGAGAGGCCGUGUGAAACUGGGUAACUAGAGGCAGGUAGAGGCAGACGGAAUUCCGGGUGGAGUGGUGAAAUGCGUAGAGAUCCGGAGGAACACCAGUGGCGAAGGCGGUCUGCUGGCCCUGACCUGACACUCAGAUGCGAAAGCAUGGGGAGCGAACGGG
rnacentral:rRNA from 1 species